rnacentral:pre_miRNA from 1 species
CAGAUACUCCCUCCGUCCGGAAAUACUUGUCCGAGGAAUGGAUGUAUCUAGAUGUAUUUUAGUUCUAGAUACAUUCAUUUGUAUCCAUUUCUACGACAAGUAUUUCCGGACGAAGGGAGUACAAG